CACGUAGGUGGGAAAUUAAGUUGGGUGUGAAAGCCCCGGGCUCAACCUGGGAUGGUCAUCCAAAACUGGUUUCCUAGAGUACAGUAGAGGGAAGUGGAAUUUCCGGUGUAGCGGUGAAAUGCGUAGAUAUCGGAAGGAACACCAGUGGCGAAGGCGGCUUCCUGGACUGAUACUGACACUGAGGUGCGAAAGCGUGGGUAGCAAACA
rnacentral:rRNA from 1 species